UUACGCGCGAUCGCCUUGAGUUUGAUCUGGCUCAGGACGAACGCUGGCGGCGUGCUUAACACAUGCAAGUCACGGGGGGGUCGCAAGACCUAACCGGCGAACGGGUGCGUAACACGUGAACAACCUGCCCUCGUGUGGGGGAUAGCCGGGCUAACGCCCGGGUAAUACCGCAUACGUUCUCGUGGAGGAGUCUCCGGGAGAGGAAAGCGCCGGCAACGGCGUGCACGGGGAGGGGUUCGCGGCCUAUCAGCUAGUUGGUGCGGUCACGGCGCACCAAGGCGACGACGGGUAGCUGGUCUGAGAGGAUGGCCAGCCACAUUGGGACUGAGAGACGGCCCAGACUCCUACGGGAGGCAGCAGUGGGGAAUCUUGCGCAAUGGUCUAACGACUGACGCAGCGACGCCGCGUGUGGGAGGACGCCUUUCGGGGUGUAAACCACUGUUGCCCGGGACGAACUCGCGUAUUUGUACGCGUUGACGGUACCGGGUGAGGAAGCACCGGCUAACUCCGUGCCAGCAGCCGCGGUAAUACGGAGGGUGCGAGCGUUGUCCGGAAUCAUUGGGCGUAAAGGGCGCGUAGGUGGCCCGGUCAGUCCGUGGUGAAAGCGCGGGGCUCAACCCUGCGUCGGCCAUGGAUACUGCCGCGGCUCGAGCACUGUAGAGGCAGGCGGAAUUCCGGGUGUAGCGGUGGAAUGCGUAGAGAUCCGGAAGAACACCGGUGGCGAANGCGGCCUGCUGGGCAGUUUAGCUGACACUGAGGU
rnacentral:rRNA from 1 species